GACAAGAUGUCUGAAAAAGAAGAGGGUUGUAAACCCCCUAAUGCGGAUUAAAGUUCCGCUCUUCGUCA
rnacentral:tRNA from 1 species